rnacentral:lncRNA from 1 species
CCGACCUGCACAUUUGAGUGAAAAAACAUAAAAGGUUUUGAAAAAUAAAAUAAAAUAAAUGAGUAAAUAAAUAAAAAAAACUAAAAAUCAAUACCUAGCGUGAGCAUAUCAAUAAUCAAUCUAUCAAUCAAUCAAUCAAUCAAUCAAUGCACUGGAAAGUUAGCGAUUGCUGUUAAAAGCAAAAGUGUUAAUUCAUAAGUAUAUACAUUAAUUGUCUUGUGAUUGCAGUUGAUUUGCUGUUGAUGGUCUGUUAUUGAUUGGUCCACAACCUGCAGAGGAAGGUGGAGGCAGGUUGGCUGGAGAAGAAAUGGGAAAACCUAAAGCAAAAGUACAAGGAGCUGAAGACGCCCAGGACAGGGGUCAGUACAGAGGGAAGAGAGACCACUGCUGCCA